GCUAGUUAAGUCUCCCAAACCAAGUUUGGAGACUUAUUGUUUUUGCUCAGUUCUUAUUAUUUUUAUUAUUCUUCUUCUUCUUCUUCUUCUUCUUCUUCUUCUUCUUCUUCUUCUUCCCCUUCUUCUUCUUCUUCCUCUUCCGCCACUUUAAAUAUGAACUUGUUCGCAGCGUUUCUCCAAAACCGCUUGUCAGAUUUACUUAGGGUUUCAUAGAAUGGUAGACUAAUAUGUCUAGGUGAGCCAUCAAUCUUUCGUUUGUGCAUUGGGGUCUAUUAAGGGGUAUUUUGGGGGGUAGAAAGGAGGGAGGGGGUUACUAUAGAACCCUAUGGGAUUUUAUUUUCUAAAAUUUUCAAAUGAAUAUAACUUGAAAACUGUAAGUGAUAGAUACAUGCAGUCUUCAGAAAUGAUUAUAGGACAAUAAAACAAAUCACAUGAAAUAUAGAGGGAGUCCCUGGAGGGUCAUCCCCACCCCCUUCAAUUUGAGAAUAUGCUUUUAUCUUGUAAACGGUCCAGAUCCCCAC
rnacentral:lncRNA from 1 species